rnacentral:tRNA from 11 species
GGGCCGAGCUGGAUUUGAACCAGCGUAGACAUAUCGUCAACGAAUUUACAGUCCGUCCCCAUUAACCGCUCGGGCAUCGACCCA